rnacentral:rRNA from 1 species
AGGAUGAACGCUAGCGGCGUGCCUAACACAUGCAAGUCGAACGUCCUGUCUCGCAAGAGGCAGGGAGUGGCGGACGGGUGAGUACCACGUGGGUCAUCUACCGUGAGGUGAGGAAUACCGGCGAGAAAUCGCCGACAAGACCGCAUAGGCUCGAUGCAAGUCGAGCAAAGCUCUCUCGAGAGAGGGAGCGCCACACGAGGAGCCUGCGCCCGAUUAGCUAGCUGGUGGAGUAAUGGUUCACCAGGGCGACGAUCGGUAGCUGGUCUGAGAGGACGAUCAGCCACACUGGGAUUGAGAACGGCCCAGACUCCUACGGGGGGCAGCAGUGAGGAAUUUUCGUCAAUGGGGGCAACCCUGAACGAGCAACGCCGCGUGCAGGAGAAGGUUUUCGGAUCGUAAACUGCUUUUCUCGGGGAAGAGAACGGACGGUACCCGAGGAAUCAGCCCGGCUAACUACGCGACAGCAGCCGCGGU